UAGGGAAUAUUGGUAAUGGGCGAAAGCCUGAACCAGCAACGCCGCGUGCGCGAUGAAGGCCUUCGGGUUGUAAAGCGCUUUUUGAGGGGAUGAGGAAGGACAGUACCCUCAGAAUAAGCCUCGGCUAACUACGUGCCAGCAGCCGCGGUAAAACGUAGGAGACGAGCGUUAUUCGGAUUUACUGGGCGUAAAGCGCGUGCAGGCGGCUCGGAAAGUUGGAUGUGAAAGCUCCUGGCUUAACUGGGAGAGGUCGUUCAAUACUACCGGGCUUGAGAGUGUGAGAGGGAGGUGGAAUUCCGGGUGUAGUGGUGAAAUGCGUAGAUAUCCGGAGGAACACCAGUGGCGAAAGCGGCCUCCUGGCACAUUUCUGACGCUCAGACGCGAAAGCUAGGGUAGCAAACGGGAUUAGAGACCCCGGUAGUCCUAGCCGUAAACGAUGUAGACUUGGCGUGGGUGGGUUCAAAUCCAUCUGUGCCGGAGCUAACGCA
rnacentral:rRNA from 1 species